UGGGUGAUUGGCUCUAUUACUAUUAUUGUUUGAGAAUUAAAUCUUGUAAUUGAUAAUAUAAUACCUUUUAUCUUUUGAAAUAGGAUAAAACAAAUUUCUGAAAGUUGAAUUAUCUUCAUGAAGAUUAAUAGCUUAGAGCCUCUUUAAGGAAAUUAAACUGAUGAUUACAUAGAAUACGUUGUUUGAUUUGGGAAGUCCAUAUUACCUCUUUGUUCUUCGAUAUAGAAAUAUUACAUCUUACAUACCUUCAAAGAAAAAUAUAAGCCUUGAUAAUUUCAUAGUCUAUAAUAUAAAAUGCUUAACUAAGCUUUGUUCUUAUCAUUUGUUUUAUGUAAAUGUAACAGCAUACGAAUGCUUUCCAUUUUUCUUUUCAUACGAAUGCUUUGUUCUUAUGUUUAUAUUUCUUCUCAUCAGUUUAUGAAGGGGAAAAGUUCUUUUACAAAGAAGAAGACAUUGCUAUUCCAGUAAAGGUGUUAGAUCAUUUUUCAUUUGCAGAUUUUUCCCUCGCAUGUUCCUUUUUUCCGCGGAAUUUGAAGAUCUGCAUUGUUCUCCAUUUUGAAAAUGUGACUGAUCUUUGUCUCUCCUCUGCCGUCGUCAUGCCUCUGUCUUCUAUGUUAGCAGGUUCAAUCUUUCUUUCCAAGAAAGCAUUGAUGAUAAUGAUGAUUCUGAUGAAGGGAAAGAUGAAGAUGAAAAGCCCUGUUUUUCUGAAAUAGAAAGAAGUGCUGAUUUUUUAGACAAGGAAGUUGCUGCUAAUGGCUUUCGGCUCAUCUUAUAGCCAAUGAUUACGCUACGGGAUGCGAUGAUUGGUGCCGUUCCAAGCUAUGAGGAGCCGUAUAUUAAAGUUCCAAAGGUCUUAAGUAUGGACUAAAAACUUUGUAAAGUUCAUUGAAGAUGGAGGAGAAGCUAAAAUAAACUCAGAUAGUAAAGUUAAUUCAGUGGAAGACCUGAAUGAAUCAAUCCUUCUUUAGGAUGAAAAACAUGAAAACAAAGGAAAAGAUGAGAGCUGUGAAGCUGCUGAAAGUGGUGCAUCUGAAAGGGAAGAUACAACUGACGAGGUGAAGAUGCUGAAAUUGAAAGAUGAACUAAGGUUAAGGUGCUCUGCAUGAAACUCUACCAUAAACAGAAGAUACAUGGCAUAGGAAAGAAGAAGAUGAAGAGUGCAAUUAGCAUAGUUAUAUAGUUAUGUUGUUCAUGAAUUAUUUUUACCUUGUUUUAGUUUAGAUUGUGGAUCAUAAAUUUGAUGUAUUUAGAAAUUUUUAAUUUUUUAAAUUCUAUAUUUCUAUGUAGACAUUGUGAAUGUUUUGGUAUUUAUUUGGAAAAUUAAUCUAUGCUUGAUUCUUUUUA